ensembl:lincRNA Gm26799 predicted gene, 26799
GAGACAUUCCAGGGCGUAGCCUGGAGCGAUGCAGGCGUUUGGACCUCUUGGAUCCCCGGAGACAAGAAGAUAAGUGAAAGAUUAAAAGCAGCUUUAAUCUGUUUUAUAAAAUGAAUAAACAAAAGAUUCCGGAAGUCUCUUUCAGCCCCAGCCUGCCUCCCAGGUGUACCCAGUUCAAGUAGGCCGCAGGCCAGCAUACAACAGAUUGGUGCCUGAGCCAGGGACCUUAAGAACAGCGGGAAAACACUGAGGGAAUCGCUGUCUUGUAUGGAGCUCCAAGGGGAGGAAAGAAUCAGAGAUCGAAUUGGGCAUGGUGAGCAACAGGAUUUGACAUCGAAAUAGGUGUGGGACUAGAAACUGUGAAUCAGGAGGUUGUCCACAGCUUUUAAAAGCUGUUUCAGAAGCCGGGUGUGGUGGCACAUGCCUUUAAUCCCAGCACUCGGGAGGCAGAGGCAGGCAGAUUUCUGAGUUAGAGGCCAGCCUGGUCUACAAAGUGAGUUCCAGGACAGUCAAGGCUACACAGAGAAAUCCUGUCUCAAAAAACCAAACCAAAAGCUGUUUCAGCCUGCCUCCCAAGUGUACCCCGUUCAAGUAGGCCACAGGCCGGCAUACAACACCUCGUUGCAGUAGAAUACCACAGUGAAUUGGAGGUGUCACUUCCAUGGGAUGAUCACCAAGAACAGCAGCAGCAGUAGUGGAGUGGAGUCAACCAGAGUGCUACAGAGGGCAGAGCUGGAGAAGUGACACAACCCCUUGGAGAAGCCCAGAAGAUCCUACGUGGAUCCAAGACACUGGAAUGAGAAGCUGUAAAGUUGAAGUUGCCUCGGAUACCUCAAUAUGUUAGAGAUGUCAGAGCCAUGGGAUAACUGCCAAGGGAAGCUGCUAACAGGGAGUGGAACCUGCCCAAGAGAAUGAAGUUUGUUGCUGCUGAAUGCCAAAUCUGUCUGUUGGAAUUAAACAUGGGUGAAAGGGUGAAAGUUUCCUCCAGUGCCAUGCCGGCCUGGAUGCUGCCAUGCUUCCCACCACGAUGGUAAUGGAAUGAAGACAAACUACGACAAGCAGGGAAGGCUCCCUCUUGACUGAGAAGCCAUGGGCAGUUGAUAGCUUUGUGAGGAGAAAGAGUUGGCCUUACUUAUGGGUGUAGCCCCCGUAAGUCAACCAUGCUCUAGAGGAUGGCCCCACCCAAGAGUACAACACAAAUUGGACCUGGUAGGUUAUUUCUAAGUGGGGUGGUCCAUGAAAGUAGGUAGUUAAGUGGGGAAAGAGUCUGGAAAGAGCCAAGAGGAGGAUUGAGGGUGUGGAUAUGAUGAUCAAAAUACACUGUGUGCAUUAAAAUUUCAAAGAAUAAAAUUUCUGAUAUUUUUU